rnacentral:rRNA from 1 species
AUACGUAGGGGGCGAGCGUUGUCCGGAAUGAUUGGGCGUAAAGGGCGCGUAGGCGGCCCGGUAAGUCUGGAGUGAAAGUCCUGUUUUUAAGAUGGGAAUUGCUUUGGAUACUGUCGGGCUUGAGUGCAGGAGAGGUAAGUGGAAUUCCCAGUGUAGCGGUGAAAUGCGUAGAGAUUGGGAGGAACACCAGUGGCGAGGGCGACUUACUGGACUGUAACUGACGCUGAGGCGCGAAAGUGUGGGGAGCAAACAGGAUUAGAUACCCUGGUAGUCCACACUGUAAACGAUGAAUGCUAGGUGUAGGGGGUAUCGACCCCUGCAGUGCCGGAGUCAACACAAUAAGCAUUCCGCCUGGGGAGUACGGCCGCAAGGUUGAAACUCAAAUGAAUUGGCGGGG